CUUUUCAUUUCAUUGUACUUUCUUUUGGAAGGCUGGCUGCCAAAAAUCGCCACUUACUAGCUAAUUAAUUAGCCUGAGGUUAACGCUAGCUAUCAGUAAACAGAAUUGACGGGGUGGCUGGCGUCUGGUGUGUCCACCAGUGUUUGUGUGUGUGUGUGUC